GGAGUCAGACAGUGUGAGAUAAGUUUCAUUGUCGAAAGGGAAACAGCCCAGAUCUACGACUAAGGUCCCAAAGUUCAAGUUAAGUGGAAAAGGAUGUGCAAUUGCGUAGACAACCAGGAUGUUGGCUUAGUAGCAGCCAUUCAUUCAAAGAGUGCGUAAUAGCUCACUGGUCGAGUGAUUGUGCGCCGAAAAUGUAACGGGGCUAAACUUGACACCGAAGUCUAGGCAGAAGGAAACUUCUGGGUAGGGGAGCAACGUGUACGGGCAGAAGCAGAAGCGGAAGCGACUGUGGACUGUACAGGAGAGAGAAUGCCGGCAUGAGUAGCGAGAGCAAAGUGAGAAUCUUUGCCGUCGAAAGCCUAAGGUUUCCUGAGGAAGGCUCGUCCUCUCAGGGUAAGUCGGGACCUAAGCCGAGGACAAUAGUCGUAGGCGAUGGACAAUCGGUUAAUAUUCCGAUACCGCCGAGCAACCGGAUGCAGUGACACAGAAGGAUAGGCAGAGCGUGGCGAUGGUAGACCACGUCCAAGCAGUGAGGCUGUUGUGUAGUGAAGUACGCACAACGGAAGGCUGGGCUGUGAUGGGGAACGAUUACGAUCGGUAAGCUGCUGAAUUCACGCUGGCGAGAAAAGCUGCUACGAAGCGAAGGCGCCCGUACCGCAAACCGACACAGGUAGGCGAGGAGAGAAUCCUAAGACGAGCGGGAGAACCCUUGUUAAGGAACUCGGCAAAAUGACUCCGUAACUUAGGGAGAAGGAGUGCCCAGGAAUGGGCCGCAGAGAAUAGACCCAAGCGACUGUUUACCAAAAACACAGGUCUGUGCGAAGUAGAGAUACGACGUAUACGGGCUGACACCUGCCCAGUGCCGGAAGGUUAAGGGGAAAUGUUAGGGCAACCGAAGCAUGGAACUUAAGCCCCGGUGAACGGCGGCCGUAACUAUAACGGUCCUAAGGUAGCGAAAUUCCUUGUCGGGUAAGUUCCGACCCGCACGAAUGGUGUAACGAUUUGGGUACUGUCUCAACAAGGGACCCGGCGAAAUUGUAGUAUGUGUGAAGAUGCACAUUACCCGCGAUAGGACGGAAAGACCCCGUAGAGCUUUACUGUAGUUUAACAUUGGAUUCCGGUAACAUAUGCACAGGAUAGGUGGGAGGCGGAGAAGCAGUGAUUUCGGUUGCUGCAGAGCCGACGUUGGGAUACCACUCUUGUGUUACUGGGGUUCUAACCUGUGGCCGUGAUCCGGCACAGGAACAGUGUUAGAUGGGCAGUUUGACUGGGGCGGUCGCCUCCAAAAGAGUAACGGAGGCGUCCAAAGGUUCCCUCAGAAUGGUUGGAAACCAUUCGAAGAGUACAAAGGCAGAAGGGAGCCUGACUGCGAGACCGACAGGUCGAGCAGGGACGAAAGUCGGGCUUAGUGAUCCGGCGGUAUAGAGUGGAAUUGCCGUCGCUCAACGGAUAAAAGCUACCUCGGG
rnacentral:rRNA from 1 species